GAUUUAUCCAAAAAUAUUAAAUUGAGAACAAUGUUCAAGGGCAGAAAAGGCCAACAUUUAUAAUUAAUAUGGAAGCGCCCAAUUACUGGAUAGAAAUAUAGCAAUGUGGAUUUAUACGAUUAAAUUUUUUUUUCAGACCUCAUAAACACAUAUUUGCUAAAUAUACUUGACGAAAAAACAGAAUGUUAAUAAUUACGAGAAGUAACACUUCUCCUUUAAGCUUACCUGGAGUUCACCAUUGUGGAUGGGCGUGCAAUAUUUGACAGUUACAGUUCCUCUUUUUUUCAGCUCAGUAAAGACCAUUGAGGCAUGUAGAAGUAUG